GAAAUGCGAUAAGUAAUGUGAAUUGCAGAAUUCAGUGAAUCAUCGAAUCUUUGAACGCACCUUGCGCUCCUUGGUAUUCCUUGGAGCAUGCCUGUUUGAGUAUCAUGAAAUCUUCAAAGUAAAUCUUUUGUUAACUCAAUUGGUUUCUACUUUGGUAUUGGAGGUCUUUGCAGCUUCACACCUGCUCCUCUUUGUUCAUUAGCUGGAUCUCAGUGUUAUGCUUGGUUCCACUCGGCGUGAUAAGUUAUCUAUCGCUGAGGACACUGUAAAAGGUGGCCAAGGUAAAUGCAGAUGAACCGCUUCUAUUAGUCCAUUGACUUGGACAAUAUUUUUAUGAUCUGAUCUCAAAUCAGGUAGGACUACCCGCUGAACUUAAGC
rnacentral:misc_RNA from 1 species